CCUACGGGGUGCUGCAGUGGGGAAUAUUGGACAAUGGGCGAAAGCCUGAUCCAGCCAUGCCGCGUGUGUGAAGAAGGCCUUCGGGUUGUAAAGCACUUUCAGUGGGGAAGAAAGCCUUGGGGCUAAUACCCUCGAGGAAGGACAUCACCCACAGAAGAAGCACCGGCUAACUCCGUGCCAGCAGCCGCGGUAAUACGGAGGGGGCGAGCGUUAAUCGGAAUUACUGGGCGUAAAGCGCGCGUAGGCGGUCUGAUAAGCCGGUUGUGAAAGCCCCGGGCUCAACCUGGGAACGGCAUCCGGAACUGUCAGGCUAGAGUGCAGGAGAGGAAGGUAGAAUUCCCGGCGUAGCGGUGAAAUGCGUAGAGAUCGGGAGGAAUACCAGUGGCGAAGGCGGCCUUCUGGACUGACACUGACGCUGAGGUGCGAAAGCGUGGGUAGCAAACAGGAUUAGAUACCCGGGUAGUC
rnacentral:rRNA from 1 species